rnacentral:tRNA from 1 species
GAAUUGAAAGCUAAUUUAAGCAUUGGUCUUGUAAAUCAAAGAUAGAGUUCUCUCUCAAUUCU